UACGGGAGGCAGCAGUGGGGAAUCUUGGACAAUGGGGGCAACCCUGAUCCAGCCAUGCCGGGUGAGUGAAGAAGGCCCUAGGGUCGUAAAACUCUUUCGCCUGUGAUGAUAAGGACAGUAGCAGGUAAAGAAACCCCGGGCUAACUCCGUGCCAGCAGCCGCGGUAAUACGGAGGGGGUUAGCGUUGUUCGGAAUUACUGGGCGUAAAGCGCACGUAGGCGGAUUAGAAAGUUAGAGGUGAAAUCCCGGGGCUCAACCCCGGAACUGCCUUUAAAACAACUAGUCUAGAGUUCGAGAGAGGUGAGUGGAAUUCCGAGUGUAGAGGUGAAAUUCGUAGAUAUUCGGAGGAACACCAGUGGCGAAGGCGGCUCACUGGCUCGAUACUGACGCUGAGGUGCGAAAGUGUGGGGAGCAAACAGGAUUAGAUACCCUGGUAGUCCACACCGUAAACGAUGAAUGCCAGUCGUCGGGUAGUAUACUAUUCGGUGACACACCUAACGGAUUAAGCAUUCCGCCUGGGGAGUACGGUCGCAAGAUUAAAACUCAAAGGAAUUGACGGGGGCCCGCACAAGCGGUGGAGCAUGUGGUUUAAUUCGAAGC
rnacentral:rRNA from 1 species